rnacentral:rRNA from 1 species
UACGGUAGGGGCUAGCGUUAUCCGGAUUUACUGGGCGUAAAGGGCGCGCAGGCUGUUAUGCGAGUCUGCUGUGAAAUGUACCGGCUCAACCGGUGCCUUGCGGCGGAUACUGCAUAGCUGGAGUACUGGAGAGGGAAGUGGAAUUCCCGGUAUAGCGGUGAAAUGCGUAGAUAUCGGGAGGAACACCGGUGGCGAAGGCGGCUUUCUGGCCAGUUACUGACGCUCAUGCGCGAAAGCUGGGGUAGCGAACCGGAUUAGAUACCCGCGUA